UUUAAAAUGUAGAGACAAGUGAUUGGCAAUAAUUUAAAUUUUAAGAUUUGUUUAGUUAAACUAGCUGCUUUUGACAUACCUUUUUGUGGACCAUAAUAUGCUUUUUUUACAUUAAUUUUUGUUUACAUUGGAUAAAAUGUAUUGAGCAUUUUUCAUGAUAUCCUUUAAGAAGCAGACUUUAAGACAUCUUCUAAAUCCAAGGGAAUAUAAUAGACCAUUCUAAAAAGAAGGAAAAGCACUUAUUUGCUGAAGUGAAUGUGGCAACUAUUUUUGGACCCGUGAUUUAAGUGUUUUGAAAAGUGGAGUAUAUCUUUAUAUAAGGUUGGAUUUGGUUGAGAUUAUGUUUGUAUAUCUCUGUUAGUACUUUGUACUUCUUAAAACACUCCCAACAAUUUUUAGAAAAUGGUUUUUGGAGGCAGGAACUUUAAAGUGGAGACAAUUAUUACAGUCUUAAUCUCUGGUACGAUGUUGUUGCUUUUUGUUGUUCCCUCUCUAUUUUCUUGUAGCCAUUAGAAAAAAUACUGAAACUAGAAGAGCCUAUAUGUUUAUUUGCAGGGACAGCAAGGAAGGGGGGAAGCUGUUGUCCUACUCCACAGCCAGUCUUGGGGUUAGAGGAACCCUAAGAAAUAGAGUAGGUGGUGGCAGCUCAGAAGAGAAGAAACAGGCUGAAUACCUGGCACCUGGAAGAAGAAGGAAUAGAGUGCACAGGGGAGUUGGCCCAGGACAGAGAAGUGGGCCUAGUUUAAAAGAGGCUUGAGGCCCACAUGGGGGCCCCUGAUAUUUUUUUACCAGUACAUCUGAGCUCUUGUAGAUCCAAUUUUUAGUGGUGGAAACAUUACUUGAGGAGGACUCAGAGAAGCAUUGUCAUUUGGAUUGAAACUGAAGAGGCUCUGGGCAACUCACCAGAAGUCUAAGGGACACUCUGUUCCUAAAAGAAACCUCGACCUGUCUCCCAGUUGGUUGCCCAGCAGGUUACUCAGCAGUUUGUGCCCCCUACACAGUCAAAGAAAGAGAAAAAAGAUAAAGUAGAAAAAGAAAAAAGUGAAAAGGAAACAACUAGCAAAAAGAACAGUCAUAAGAAAACCAGGCCAAGAUUGAAAAAUGUGGAUCGGAGUAGUGCUCAGCAUUUGGAAGUUACCGUUGGAGAUCUGACAGUCAUUAUUACAGACUUUAAGGAGAAAACGAAGUCCCCGCCUGCAUCUAGUGCUGCUUCUGCAGAUCAACACAGUCAGAGUGGCUCUAGCUCUGAUAACACAGAGAGAGGAAUGUCCAGGUCAUCUUCACCCAGAGGAGAAGCCUCAUCAUUGAAUGGAGAAUCUCAUUAAAGUUUAUUUUCUCCAAUUUCUUAGUCACUUCUGUCAUAACAUACAAAUAUACAGAUUAUGCCAAGAAGUACCACAUUUUCAUGACAAACAUUCAUGCACAAUCCAUAAUUUGCGUUUUACACAAAAUAGAAAUUUGUUAGAAUUUGUUAGACUUCAUUGCAAUCUAUGCCUACCAAACAAACCUUUUCAGACUUGACAUUUUGGUCUCCACAGUUCAAGGUGCCAUGAAAAUGUGGUUGAAUUAUUCAUUAUGCAGUGUUAUUGGUAAGUCUAUUUUCACUUUUAGUUUAGUGAAUUCUAACACAUAAUUCUUGAAUUCUCUACUAUUGGCAUGUAACGAAUUUAAAUUUUUAUAACAUAGUGCAAGCUGCCUAAAUAUGUAUUAUUUGAGAAUUGUGAACGAAUAGUUAUAUGUAUACAAGUCAAAGAUCAACUUAAUCAACUAUUGCUGCAACAGGAUUUUCUUAAUGGUUAUCCUCUUAAAUACACCUGCUGGUACUUGGUGUGGUUAAAUAGGAAAAAUUGUUAUUAAAUAAAGAAUUUGUAUGAACCGUU